rnacentral:rRNA from 1 species
UACGUAGGUGGCAAGCGUUUGUCCGGAUUUAUUGGGUUUAAAGGGUGCGUAGGCGGUCUUAUAAGUCAGUGCUGAAAUAUCCCGGCUUAACCGGGAGGGUGGCAUUGAUACUGUAGGACUUGAGUAAAGUUGAGGUUGGCGGAAUUGACGGUGUAGCGGUGAAAUGCUUAGAUAUCGUCAAGAACACCUAUAGCGAAGGCAGCUAACUAAAACUUUAACUGACGCUGAGGCACGAAAAGUGUGGGGGAUCAAACAGGG